rnacentral:rRNA from 1 species
GUGACAUUGUUCAACGGCCGCGGUAUUCUAACCGUGCGAAGGUAGCGUAAUCACUUGUCCUUUAAAUGAGGACUAGUAUGAACGGCCACACGAAAGCUAUGCUGUCUCCUUUUUCUAAUCAGUUAAACUAAUCUCCCCGUGAAGAAGCGGGGAUGAUUAUAUAAGACGAGAAGACCCUAUGGAGCUUUAAACAAUUGAAACACUUGUACCCAUCUUUCACACUUCCGACAGCCUACGCUUAAUUUUACACUUUGUUUCUAGCUUUAGGUUGGGGUGACCACGGAGAAAAAACAAACCUCCACGCUGAAAGAGUUAAUCUCUAAACAAAAAGCUACAUCUUUAAGUAUUAAUACAUUAACCUGAAUUGACCCA